CCCAAGAGAUCGGGAUAACACCUGGAAACAGAUGCUAAUACCGGAUAACAACAGAUGAUGCCUAUCAACUGUUUAAAAGAUGGUUCUGCUAUCACUCUUGGAUGGACCUGCGGUGCAUUAGCUAGUUGGUAGGGUAACGGCCUACCAAGGCGAUGAUGCAUAGCCGAGUUGAGAGACUGAUCGGCCACAAUGGGACUGAGACACGGCCCAUACUCCUACGGGAGGCAGCAGGC
rnacentral:rRNA from 1 species